GUUGGUGUAAUGUAAUCAGGUGAAUAUAAUGCUUGCGAUGUUACUCGGAGUGUAUAUCCACACCGGGCGCGAGCUUGAAAUGAUAUGCCUGGCCACGGUGGGAAUCGAACCUACGACCUUUGGCGGUCAGGACGGUUCGAGUAUGUGAUAUUUCGGAAGUGAGUCUAGUUCCUUCGUGGCAGAGCAUUGGGCCAGUGUUCUAAAGGUCGUAGGUUCGAUUCCCACCGUGGCCAGGCAUAUUUUUCAAGCUUGCCGGCGGUGUUGAUAUACACUCAGAGUAACAUCAUAAUCACUAAUUAUGUAAAAUGUUUGUAUCACGGCAGGAGACUCCUAUGUGCGGAUGCGCAGACCGGACUGUACCCUAUCUUUAAACAACUGAUAUAGUUUAGACGGCGUAUUUUUCAUGUGCCAAAACAAUUAACCAUUUGCUUCGACUUUACUGCAUCUUGCACAUACGGCAGUCGAUUUAUUGGGCGAACCAAUUAAGUCAUGUCGAAUUGUUAAAUUAAGAAAUUGCAAAUAUUGGGGAAAU